GUGUCUAGAGUCAUGGACAUCGAGAGAGACAAGCUUUUGAGUUUUCUAAAAGAUGGAUCUGCUACUAUGUUUGCUUAUGAGAUGAGGAGCGGUUAUGAGUGGAUGAGGUGUGCCAAAAACCUUUCUUCCUUUAAGGAAGCUCUCAAGAAACUCACUAAAGAAAUCAAAGACAACAGGGAUCCUCCCUAUGAGUAGGUGGACAUCUUGGCCCAAAUUCAAGAGCGGAAAAAGGAUGUUUGGAUGGAAGACCUGGCUGGGUGGACAACGUGGGUGGAGGACCAAAAGUUCAUCUUGCAGUAACCUGUGGAUACUUUGAUAUUUUAUACUGUUGUUUAUAAAUAUUUGUCUAUAGGCUACUUUGCAGAUAUUUUGCUAUACAUCUACCUAUUCCGCUUUUUUAUGUCUAUAUGAUACUCUAGUUGCUACUCUGGUUCUUGCAGGUUGAGGACUCACCUCCCUAUGUUAUAUUGUAAUGUUUUGAUUUUACUCUUGAUCUUAAUAUUAAAAAAAAGAGCUAUGCAAAAUCACCUUGGUGUUUGGCAGAGCUCUCAUAUAUGGUUAAAAGUGGCACCAAGAUAGUUCCCAUCUUCUACUAUGUAGAUCCUAUUGAUCUCAGAUAUGUAGCUCAAAGGAAAGGCAUGUAUGUUGGUGCCUUUGACAGGCAUAAAAAGAAACGUAGAUAUAGCCGAGUAAAGCUUCACGAGUGUAGAGAUGCACUUUACAAUGCCUCAUUUUACAAUGGUGAAAUCGUCAAAAGUCAUGCGAAAAAAAUAGAAUUCGAGGAAUUAAGGCUACCUCAACUGAAAUUGAAAAGAAGUUGUCAUACAAAGAGGUACGAACACCUAAUAUAAGUGAAAAAAAUUUGUUGCUCGCACCCUAUUUAGUUGGAGUAAACCUUUUGGAGAUUGGGGGAGAUUAUUUUAGUCAAAUAAACUGGUCCAAUAUCGGGCAGAGAAAUCUUCCGAGGCGGCUUUCAUUGGAAUCUUUGCGGGUUUUACAACUCAACGAAGACUAUGAAGAGGAACAUCACUUAGAAGAGUUGUGGGAGGCUGAGAGUGACGCUCCCCUAGACUUAAGAGAGUUGGUUAUAUCUGAUUGCCAAAAAUUCCAAAGACUUCCAAACUCAAUUGGGGGUGCCUAAUUGAGUUGAGAAAGAUAGUAAUCACAGAUAGCAUGAAUAUUAGGAGUCUGCCAGAAGAAUUUCGCCAUCUGCAAAUGCUGGAGCAUCUCAACUUAUCGUAUUGUGAAGUGCUAUCAUCACUACCCAAUAGUUUUGGCGAUUUGGCAAAUCUGCAAUAUCUAGAUUUGGCCUCGUGCAAAAGCUUGAAGAGGUUACCACGUUCUUUUAAGAACUUGAUGCUACUGCAAUAUCUCAAUUUAUGGGGAUGUAGAGAGCUCAUACUUAGGUCAGAUGAUUUUCAAAAUAUUACAAAGUUGGAGUUUCUGGAUCUUUCUUUCUGCGAGCAAUUGGAAGAGUUGCCUCGUCACAUCACAAAUCAGGUAUCCUUGAGAGAGCUCUAUUUACUUGGUUUGGAGAGGUUAAAAGAGAUCAAAGUCGGUCAACUAAGCAGGCUGCAAAAGAUUGAGAUAGGAAGUGACUUGUUGAUAAGUUUACCAAACUCUCUUGGAGAUUGCAUCUCCUUGAAACAACUUUUCAUUUGGCAAUGUUACAACCUGAAAUCUUUGCCGGCCUCUUUUGAAAAUUUGUCCUCCUUGAUUCAUGUUACAAUUGAAAGGUGUUCCAAGUUGAAAUCAUUGCCCUCUGUUAAAAAUUGGUCCUCCUUGACUAGGCUUUCAAUCGAGAAUUGUUUUAAACUGGAAUCUCUGCCGGCCUCUCUUGAAAAUUUGUCCUCCUCGACUGAUCUUUCAAUUCAACAUUGUUCCAAGUUGAAAUCUUUGCCCUCUGUUGAAAACUGGUCCUCCUUGACUAGGCUUUCAAUCCAGAAUUGUUUUGAACUGGAAUCGUUGCCGAACUCUUUUGGAAAUUUGUUCUCUUUAACUCUCCAUUACGAAUUGUUUUAAACUGGAAUCUCUGCCAGCCUCUCUUGCAAAUUUGUCCUCCUUGACAAAGCUUUAAAUUGACGGUUGUCGAAAGGUAAAAUGUUUACCGUUCUCUGUCGGGUGCCAUAAUCUCUUAGAGGAUUUGUUUAUAUCCAAUUGCACAAUCAGCCAAGUAGAUUUUGAGGUGGUGCCUUCAUCUUCUGCAUUGAGCAACCUUGAACUGAUAAUUCUAAAGGAAACCGAAGUGUGCAGGAUUUCAAUUCCUGAAGACCAUUAUCCCCACCUUGAGAGACUACAUCUUUAUUCUAGUAAUCAUUUAACGGAGAUCGAAUCACUUCCAGUAAAGCUUGAACAUCUGAAUAUAUGUCGGUGUCCAAAGUUGGAGAAGCUUCCGAGCUUUGCACGUUUAACUUCUCUCAGGGAAUUUAAAUUUGAAGGUUGUGACCAAAUUGGGAAAAUGGAAGGUUUAGAAGGCUGCACAAGAUUGGAAAUAUUGAGUCUAAAGACCUGCUGGGAAGUGUCGAGCAUAGAAAGUUUGAAGUGCAUGGGGAAAUUGAAGAAGGUGGAAGUCAGAGAAAACGUUUGAAGUGCAUGGGGAAAUUGAAAAAGGUGGAAGUCAGAGAAAACAAGGGAUCAGCUAUUGAAAGUUGCAAUGAAACAAUACAGAAUUGGCCAGAUGAAAUGAUAAUAUGUGCGGGGACGGUCCCUGAUGCGUCCUCACUCGUGCAUUCCUUCAAAUUUGGGCUGUCUCGGAAUCUCUCAGUCGUUGACUCAUUCUCUAACAAGGAUCUUUUCUCCAAACCGGAAUUGUAUUCACCCAAUAGCACUGCCUUUAUGCUCUGUUUCAUUAUAAAUGGUGUUUCUUCUUUAAGGUUGUCUAGUGGUCGUUGACUACCUUUCAUUGGUGAUAAUGGAGUAUCUAUCUUUGAUAUUGGAGAGGGGAGAUGGGCAUUGAUCGGUGUCUUCACACAACAACAAAGUGGCUCGAUGCAGGGGGUCGCUUCGGCCUAUCUAACUUUGGAGUCACUGAUUUGGAAAGACAAGUAAAAGUGGAAGUGGAGAGAGGUUUUGCUGUGAGAGGAGAAAAGAAAAUGCUAGUAGAGGCCUCAUUGAGACUUAUGCCUCAUUGAGACUUAUGCAAAGCAUUUGGAGCUAGUAUUAUUUUGUUUGUAGGUGGAACUGGAAAGUGUAGACAUUAUUUUCAUUUUUAUGUGAGCAUUUGGAUGUAUUGUUAAUUUAUUUGUAAGUGGAAGGCGUGGAGUUAAUCAUUGUCAUUUAUCUUUAAGUAUAUGAAAGUGUUACAUCUUUAAUGAGAGUGAAAGAGUGCAGCAUACC